rnacentral:lncRNA from 1 species
CGGAGCGGCCGCGGGGGCGCGGAAGCAGCAGCAGGAGGAGGAGGAGCAGCAGCAAGAGAGCCGGCAGGAUGUUCGGGCGGGACCCGUGGGGCGGGCCGCUGGAGAUCUCCAACGCCGACUCGGCGACGGACGACGACCGGAGCCGGGACCUGGACCGGGCGGCGCUAAUGCGGCAGCUGGACGAGACGCAGCAGAGCUGGCUCCUCGCCGGCCCCGGGGACCAGGCGGGCAAGAAGAAGAAGAAGUACGUCGACCUCGGCUGCGUCGUCCUCGACCGCAAGAUCUUCAUGUGGACCGUCGGCACCAUCCUCGGCCUCGGCGUCUUCAUCGGCUUCAUCAUGAUGAUCGUCAAGCUCGUCCCGCACAAGCGCCCGCCGCCGCCGCCGCCCGACCAGUACACGCAGGCGGUCCACAAGGCGCUCAUGUUCUUCAA